AGGACUCUAAGUUAAAAAAGACUAUAUGUUUUCAAAACAUGAAGUAACUUUUAUUGUUGUGUCUUG
rnacentral:tRNA from 1 species